GGCCGCAGCCCCUGCCCCACCCGCAGCCGCAGCCCCAGCCCCAGCCCCACCUAAGAUGGAGGUUAAAGCAGAACUAGCUGCCCAACCUGUGACCAACGCACCAAAAGAAGAACCAAAGGGUGCUGCCAAAGAAGCAGAGGCCGCCAAGCCGAAAUCUGACCGCCCGUUCAGCAGACUUUUCAGCAGAAAGGCACUGAUAGGCCUCAAGUCUAAAAUCAAGGUUAAGUCAACAAGUGGAGCCAGAGCCCCUGCCAAGCCUGCUGCAGCGAAUGUAGACUUCUCAAAGACGGCCACUCUGGAGGCCUCUGCCACUCUAGAACCACCACCACCUGCACCAGAGGACGAGAAGACACCUGCUGCCUCCAAAGCCUCUCCUUUCACUUCCUUUUCUCUUUUCAAGACCAUGGCAGCUGUGCCGAAAAAGGAAGUCCCUGCCCCAGCUGCAGAAGCGGUAGCUGGCCCAAGUGUAGCCAAGGAUGAACCAAAGGCCCCAGAGGACCCUGCUGUGGACAGCAAGCCCGUGUCAGGGCCCUCCGAGGUUAUGGAGAAUUCCCCCGUCCUCCCUAAGAGACUGGAGAAGAGGAACUCCAUCCACUUGUUCUUCAAAAACCUGGGCAAACGCCAGUCAGAUGCAGGAGUACAAACAGAACCAGAGAAGACCAAAUAAAACGGAAACACCCUUUCAAACUUCACAUGCCAUAUCUGGAAAUGAACUUUUCAUUUGUUAGAUACAUUAUGUUUCUGAUCACACUAUUGAAGGGAUGAUGGUAAGAGCAAGUGGUUUGAGGGAGAGGGGUGGACUGUGGACUGGUCUGUUCUAGUCUAAUCUAAUCUGUGUGGAUGAUUUCAGAGAAUUGUUCUUUGUGGAGGAGGUAAAAUAUAUUUUCUGGUUUAAAGGCUUGAUAGGUAGAGAAAAGUGGUUUUGUUACAUGUACUGAGAGCAAAAUCCAUUUCUAUACAGUAUUUACCCUUCUUUUAACAUGUCACUUAUUCCACGGAGGGCUGAGUGUCUGCGGGUUUUUGCUCCUCCCUUGAUUGAUUAAUUAAGGUCACUAAUUAGUAAAGAACUCCCCUCACCUGGUUGUCUAAGUCUAAAAACAAAACACCCACAGACACUAAGCCCUUCAUGGAAUGUGUUUGACACCACUGCUUUAACAUAUUAAUAUGUGUAAGGAUCUAAUGCAAAUAUUACGUUUAGCAUAUUUUUUUCCCCUCUUCAUAUACACAUUUUACUAGUCUGAAAAGAACUUGUGGAGUGCAUACAAUGGUUUCAGAUACGUUCAUAGGACGUCUUGGAGAAGAGAUGCAUAAAGCUUAGCUUGAGAUAGAAAUUGAAUAUACUCAAAAUUUAAUGGAGGAGUUGGCGAAAUGGUUGAUAUUCCUGCCAAGAUGUUUUUAUUUAGGCUAGACACAUGCAAUUUACAAUGUAAGCUUUAAACUUUGCAGGAACUGUACACGGAUGCAAAUAUAUGCCAAACACUAAAUUACAAUUUAUGAUUAUAAUCAUACACAGGGGGCGCUCCCAAUCAUUACUUUUUUGGGGAACUACACAGAUCUGGUUGUCUAUAUAGCUAACUGCACAGUCAUGCAUCAUAUUUGAUUAAUGUUUCACUGAAGUAUAAAGGUUUGUUCUAAUUUGGGUGCACUGCUUUACGUGUGUGCCUGUUUGAAUGCAGAUGUUAUAAUCUUGGGGAUCUUGUCUGUUAAUUUCUGCAUCUAUAAUUUGAUAAACUGCAUCUGGAAGUAGAAUGUUUAUUGUGACAGCAAAUUCCAAAUCAUGAAAACCUGCAAUGGGGUAUUGGGGGGGGGGGGGAGUUCUACUGAGCUAACAUAUGGAAUUUUUUUAAGAUCAUACCAUGGAUCCUUUAGCUAUUUAAUUUUUCAUUUAGGUAAAAUAUUGAAUUUGGCUUUUAAUGCUAUAGCCUAUAGAAAUGCAAUGAAUAACACAUUCAUAAAUGGCAAAACGGAGAGUACAAAAAGAAAUAAUAUAUAACGUUUUUGAAGUGUCUGUCCUACAUCUAGGAGAUGUAAUAAUGUUCAGGAUUUACACAUAUUUAACCCAUUUUUUGGGGGUGUCACAAAACUACUUCUAUAUAUUUUUUAUUAUGUUAAUUAAAUUGACGCACGGGUGCGUUGAUGGACUUUAGGGGGUAUUUAAAGCUAUUUUCCUGUAACUGUUUAAAGAGAAUAAAUGUGUACAAUUAUU
rnacentral:lncRNA from 1 species